rnacentral:ribozyme from 13 species
ACUUGGAUCAACAGCAAGGAUCAGUGGAACAAGACAGAAAGCAAUGAAAAAAGUGGCCUUUGCCAUCACACUCUUCUGAGGGAGGAGGACGGUCUCUUUUUUUUACUUCCUCCUCUCUUUUCUUUUUUGGGUUUUUAGUUUUUUUUUU